rnacentral:rRNA from 1 species
UACGUAGGGACCGAGCGUUGUCCGGAAUCAUUGGGCGUAAAGAGCGUGUAGGCGGCUAUUUAAGUCCUGCGUGAAAUCCUGCGGCUCAACCGCAGACGGUCGUGGGAAACUGGAUGGCUAGAGUGCGGGAGAGGAGUGUGGAAUUCCCGGUGUAGCGGUGAAAUGCGCAGAGAUCGGGAGGAACACCCGUAGCGAAGGCGGCACUCUGGGCCGGUACUGACGCUGAGGAGCGAAAGCGUGGGGAGCGAACAGG